CUUUACUUGAUCGAACAACUCAAAUUUCAGUUAUUUCAACUACAUUAAAUGAUCUUUCAAAUUGGUCAAGACUCUCCAGUUUAUGGCCACUUCUCUAUGGUACCAGUUGUUGCUUCAUUGAAUUUGCUUCAUUAAUAGGCUCACGAUUCGACUUUGAUCGUUAUGGACUAGAUCUUGGUACUAGCNAAGAUCUAGUCCUAGACAAGCGGACCUGAUUUUAACAGCCGGCACCGUAACCAUGAAAAUGGCUCCUUCUUUAGUGAGAUUAUAUGAACAAAUGCCUGAACCAAAAUAUGUUAUUGCUAUGGGGGCAUGUACAAUUACAGGGGGGAUGUUCAGUACCGAUUCUUAUAGUACUGUUCGGGGAGUUGAUAAGCUAAUUCCUGUAGAUGUCUAUUUGCCAGGCUGUCCACCUAAACCGGAGGCGGUUAUAGAUGCUAUAACAAAACUUCGUAAAAAAAUAUCUCGAGAAAUUUAUGAAGAUCGAAUUAGGUCUCAACCGGGGAAACGGUGUUUUACUACUAAUCACAAGUUUAAUAUUGAACGCACUACUCAUACUGGAAAUUAUGAUCAAGAAUUACUCUAUCAAUCGCCGUCUACUUCAAAGAUCCCUCCGGAAACAUUUUUCAAAUAUAAAAGGUCAGUAUCGUCCAACGAAUUAGUAAAUUAGAGGAAGGAUUCGUUUGUACAGAAUAACAAAGGGCAAGUCAAUCUUCAUAAAUUUCAUCGUGAAUGUGAAAUACUUAUAUUAUAAUUAUACAAAUAAAAAUGCGGGAGAGAGAAAAAAGAUGCAGGGUCGUUUGUCUGCUUGGCUAGUCAAACAUGGGCUAGUUCAUAGAUUUUUGGGUUUUGAUUACCAAGGAAUAGAGACUUUACAAAUAAAGCCCGAAGAUUGGCAUUCCAUUGCUGUCAUUUUAUAUGUAUAUGGUUACAAUUAUCUGCGUUCGCAAUGUGCCUAUGAUGUAGCACCGGGCGGGCUGUUAGCUAGUGUAUAUCAUCUUACGAGAAUAGAGUAUGAUAUAGAUCAACCAGAAGAAGUAUGUAUAAAAGUAUUUGCCCCAAGGAAGAAUCCUAGAAUUCCGUCUGUUUUCUGGGUUUGGAAAAGUGCGGAUUUUCAAGAAAGGGAAUCUUAUGAUAUGCUGGGAAUCUUUUAUGAUAAUCAUCCACGCUUGAAACGUAUCUUAAUGCCGGAAAGUUGGAUAGGGUGGCC
rnacentral:misc_RNA from 1 species